GACGUAGGGGGCGAGCGUUGUCCGGAUUAUUGGGCGUAAAGAGCGCGUAGGCGGCCCGUUAAGUCGGAUGUGAAAACCCGUGGCUCAACUGUGGGCGGGCAGCUGAUACGGGCAGGGCUGGAGUUCGGGUAGGGGGAGACUGGAAUUCCUGGUGUGAGCGGUGAAAUGCGCAGAUAUCAGGAGGAACACCGGUGGCGAAGGCGGGUCUCUGGGCAGUAACUGACGCUGAGGAGCGAAAGCGUGGGGAGCGAACAGG
rnacentral:rRNA from 1 species